GCACAAGCGGUGGAGCAUGUGUUUAAUCGAAGCAACGCGAAGAACCUUUACCAGGUCUUGACAUCCCGAUGCUAUUUCUAGAGAUAGAAAGUUACUUCGGUACAUCGGUGACAGGUGGUGCAUGGUUGUCGUCAGCUCGUGUCGUGAGAUGUUGGGUUAAGUCCCGCAACGAGCGCAACCCCUAUUGUUAGUUGCCAUCAUUCAGUUGGGCACUCUAGCGAGACUGCCGGUAAUAAACCGGAGGAAGUGGGAUGACGUCAAAUCAUCAUGCCCCUUAUGACCUGGGCUACACACGUGCUACAAUGGUUGGUACAACGAGUUGCGAGUCGGUGACGGCGAGCUAAUCUCUUAAAGCCAAUCUCAGUUCGGAUUGUAGGCUGCAACUCGCCUACAUGAAGUCGGAAUCGCUAGUAAUCGCGGAUCAGCACGCCGCGGUGAAUACGUUCCCGGGCCUU
rnacentral:rRNA from 1 species